UCUGCGUGCAACAUCCAUACCCUCCUGUCCGCAGGUGUGAACACUUUGUCAAAACGUGUUCCGCGAUCGACUCCACCUGAGUGUACUUUCAGGAGACCUUUUCUUCUUCGGCACAUCAUGAUAAUAUUUCCAGCUAACGAAAAAAGGUCUGCUGCUGCAGGGUAUCUGCCAGCUGCUGACUCCCACAUGUUGUGCAAUGAUGUUAUUUUCCCUCUCUCUCCUGGAAAAUCACCGCCAUGCACAUGGACUUCACAAUGAAAGACAGACUAAGAAGGGUAUUUUCCCCGGGUAUUAUCCCCUUUUUCUGAUUAAUUCUCACUGGCUGCCAGCAAAUAUACACUUUUUUGUUGUAAAGAGGAAGCGCUUUAAGAAGAGAACGCGUGUUAUGUUGGGAAAUUCAGUGUCAAAAGUAAAAUAUUGCGGUAAUCA